UAUUCAGAAUAUAUCACAUCACAUCUGUGUUCUCUGAGAUUUGGAGGAGUUGUGAUAUUUUGAGAAAAAUAAAGUGAUAAUAGGCUAUUACAAGAACAAAGUCACAAUAUUUCAGAAAAUAAUCCACCUGCACCAUAGUCUGCUCUGCAUUACGUGAUUGCUCUGCUGAUGAGGUAGAUCUCAGACCUUCUGACUGACACGAGCCCCUUUUGGGUCUCUGGUCUCUGAAUGAGACAAAGUUCAGGGAAGUGGCUCCCUACAUCGG